rnacentral:rRNA from 1 species
UGAACGCUGGCGGCGUGCCUAAUACAUGCAAGUCGAGCGAACAGAUGAGGAGCUUGCUCCUCUGACGUUAGCGGCGGACGGGUGAGUAACACGUGGAUAACCUACCUAUAAGACUGGGAUAACUUCGGGAAACCGGAGCUAAUACCGGAUAAUAUAUUGAACCGCAUGGUUCAAUAGUGAAAGACGGUUUUGCUGUCACUUAUAGAUGGAUCCGCGCCGCAUUAGCUAGUUGGUAAGGUGACGGCUUACCAAGGCAACGAUGCGUAGCCGACCUGAGAGGGUGAUCGGCCACACUGGAACUGAGACACGGUCCAGACUCCUACGGGAGGCAGCAGUAGGGAAUCUUCCGCAAUGGGCGAAAGCCUGACGGAGCAACGCCGCGUGAGUGAUGAAGGUCUUCGGAUCGUAAAACUCUGUUAUUAGGGAAGAACAAAUGUGUAAGUAACUAUGCACGUCUUGACGGUACCUAAUCAGAAAGCCACGGCUAACUACGUG